rnacentral:misc_RNA from 1 species
UUUCCGUAGGUGAACCUGCGGAAGGAUCAUCAUUGAAUCCAUUCUACAAACCCUGUGAACUGUAUGUAAAAGAGUGUUUUGGCAGGAAGAUUCGGCAGCUAGCCGAGUCGUGUCUCUCUGCGAGGGCUAGCGCGCGUGGUUUACCUUUUGCGCUACUCUUGUGGAUGAGCGACUGCCAUCCGCUCACCUUUAAAUAAAAACGCUUUAAACAAUUAUUACUGAUACAAACAAAUAAACUAAAACAACUUUCAACAAUGGAUCUCUUGGCUCUC